rnacentral:rRNA from 1 species
GACGAACGCUGGCGGCGUGCUUAACACAUGCAAGUCGAACGGAAAGGCCCUGCUUUUGUGGGGUGCUCGAGUGGCGAACGGGUGAGUAACACGUGAGUAACCUGCCCUUGACUUUGGGAUAACUUCAGGAAACUGGGGCUAAUACCGGAUAGGAGCUCCUGCUGCAUGGUGGGGGUUGGAAAGUUUCGGCGGUUGGGGAUGGACUCGCGGCUUAUCAGCUUGUUGGUGGGGUAGUGGCUUACCAAGGCUUUGACGGGUAGCCGGCCUGAGAGGGUGACCGGCCACAGUGGGACUGAGAUACGGCCCAGAGUCCUACGGGAGGCAGCAGUGGGGAAUAUAGCACAAUGGGCGGAAGCCUGAUGCAGCAACGCCGCGUGCGGGAUGACGGCCUUCGGGUUGUAAACCGCUUUCGCCUGUGACGAAGCGUGAGUGACGGUAAUGGGGAAAGAAGCACCGGCUAACUACGU